rnacentral:rRNA from 1 species
UACGUAGGGAGCAAGCGUUGUCCGGAAUCAUUGGGCGUAAAGCGCGCGUAGGCGGCCCUGUAAGUCCGCUGUGAAAGUCAAAGGCUCAACCUUUGAAUGCCGGUGGAUACUGCAGGGCUAGAGUCCGGAAGAGGCGGGUGGAAUUCCUGGUGUAGCGGUGGAAUGCGUAGAGAUCCGGAAGAACACCGGUGGCGAAGGCGGCCCGCUGGGCAGUGACUGACGCUGAGGUGCGAAAGCGUGGGGAGCAAACAGG